CCUACGGGAGGCAGCAGUGGGGAAUUUUGGACAAUGGGCGAAAGCCUGAUCCAGCAAUGCCGCGUGAGUGAAGAAGGCCUUCGGGUUGUAAAGCUCUUUUGUCAGGGAAGAAACGGUGCGGGCUAAUAUCCUGCACUAAUGACGGUACCUGAAGAAUAAGCACCGGCUAACUACGUGCCAGCAGCCGCGGUAAUACGUAGGGUGCAAGCGUUAAUCGGAAUUACUGGGCGUAAAGCGUGCGCAGGCGGUUUUGUAAGUCUGUCGUGAAAUCCCCGGGCUCAACCUGGGAAUUGCGAUGGAGACUGCAAGGCUAGAAUCUGGCAGAGGGGGGUAGAAUUCCACGUGUAGCAGUGAAAUGCGUAGAGAUGUGGAGGAACACCGAUGGCGAAGGCAGCCCCCUGGGUCAAGAUUGACGCUCAUGCACGAAAGCGUGGGGAGCAAACAGGAUUAGAUACCCUGGUAGUCCACGCCCUAAACGAUGUCUACUAGUUGUCGGGUUUUAAUUAACUUGGUAACGCAGCUAACGCGUGAAGUAGACCGCCUGGGGAGUACGGUCGCAAGAUUAAAACUCAAAGGAUUGACGGCUGAAGCGNGCGAGACGACGACGAGGAGGAGG
rnacentral:rRNA from 1 species